AACACAACAAAAAAUAAAACACAAUAAUAGUGUUUUGGUCAUUUCCACAUGCUAUUAAAUGUAAAGUUUCAAAAUAUGUCUAAAUUCUUAAACUUGAUUCAAUAUAUUGCCAGUGACCUGCCAAAAAAUUUCUCGUCACCACCUCUUAUAAAUCUGCAAAUAAAAAUAAAAAUUAGCUUUUCAAUAUUUGUUGAUCCCUGAACUGAUAAUGCAAAUAAUAUAAGAAUAAAGAGGGCAAGUACGUAGAUAAUAAUAUUGGCUAUGAACUAUAUAACAGACAGAAACCGACAUUAAUUAAAUUCAUGUAACCAAAUAUUGAGCAUUAAGAGUAACAAAGAAACUGAGUAAUUUUGAGAAAUCAGAAUAAUAAUUACAAAUAUGACUAGUAUUACAUAAAAAGAAAUUACAAAACAGGAUACGAAUGCGAAUGAAGUAACAAGUUACUAUUGCGAAUGAAGUAACAAGUAACGUUUAUUUUAGCUCAUAUUUCAAACACAAACAAAACAAUCAGAUUUGAAGCGCUUCAAAUCUUAUUUUCUUAAUCGUACGGUAUUAGUUAUGAUCCCUUUUUUGGCCAAAGUAAUCAAAAUUUCGAGUGAAUAAAAUAGUACUGCUCAUCUUUGAAUGGACUAAAUGUGAGUGUGUCGGCUAAAUCCUUUGGAUGGUCCCAGGGAAGAACAAAUUGUUGACCAAAUGGACCCCAAAAGCAGGCACAAAUGCACUGAAUUCGGCCGCCUCAAUAAUCAAACACAAUUUAUUGAAACUAGACAACAAAGUGCUAUCACCUGAAAGCGCUUUUUCUGUCUAAAAGAAAGUUGUUAUUGUGUAGUUGCCAACUUGAUCGCUACGUACGUAUAGUAACUUAAACAAUAAUAAAGAAGAAUUUCUAGGCUUAAAAGCAUCAUGAAUACCCAGCUACAAGGAGAUCAAGAGGGUAGUGAAUCACACUACUGAGUUGUUACAGCGCAACCACUCUUAAAAAGUCGAUGGCGACAAAUGGAAUGCUGAGAAAUACAUGUAAUAUCUAUCAUGAAUCAGAUAAAACUGCAGAUUGAAUUUGGCGAACAGUGAAUGAGGGUCUCUGUACGCAGUAGAAACUGGAAUGGGCCAACAGAACAGGAAUUUACAAGCCAUUUUUUCAGCCUAGCGCCGCAUUUACACUAACUGUUAAAGGACAAUAAGAAUAUAGACCACUCAGCAUCUGGUUUUUAGUUCGAUAUUUUGAUGAUUACUUUAUGUAGCUCAAUCAACACAUUAAAACAGAAGCAAGGUGACAUCUGGGACCAUUCUCUGCCUUCGUUAUAGUAGCUACAUAAAUACAGAACAUGCCGAGCAGAGAAAGGUUAAAAUCAGUAAAGAACAAUCACAAAAACAUGGUGGAGGAGUUGGGUCGGAUCUGUAGACGCGCAGGUGAUGGCUUGAACCUGCGGCUCGCCUGCAGCGAAGGUGCGGCUUGAACCUGCGGCUCGCCUGCAGCGAAGGUGUGGCUUGAACCUGCGGCUCGACGAGGCGACGCGCAGUUGCGGCUCGACGAGGCGACGCGCAGUUGCGGCUCGACGAGGCGACGUGCAGGUGCGUUGGCCUACAGCGAAGCCCGCCGUGAGGUGCUACUGGCCUGCAGCGAAGCCCCCCGUGGGGGUGCUAGAGCCACAGGCGGCGGAGGCCCGGGGCUCGCUUCCGAUGAAGACGGAGGCGCAGGGCUUGGCGGAGGCGUGAGGCUUGCUGGAAACGCGGGUGGAGGGGGCGGAGGGGACGAAGAGCUAGGGAAACGUAGAGAGAGAGA
rnacentral:lncRNA from 1 species